AGCGCGCAUGUGAUACACACACAAAGAAAUUAGGAAUAAACUAUCCUCAAUUUGUUCGAUGUUCGGAAGUUUUUUCAAUAUUUCUUGUUUUUAAAAGUUCAAAAAAUCGUACAAAGUGACAAAAUCGUAAGUCGACCCGACGAUAAACACGAUAGUGUACCGCAUUUUCACUGCAGCAAUAUGUCGAAGUGCCACGUCCCGCGAUGCCGGAGCAGAAAAAUUUUAAAACUUGGGGAUACUGUUUUAACCUAUAAUCAGCAAAGAAGACAUCUUUGUACUGGAGCUAUCCAAUGCAUUCGCUUCUUGGAUCUUCCUAAACGUUCCGUUCCAAUGGUUUCACACAAAAUUUAUACAUUUUAUACAUUAAAUUUAUACAUUAACUUCUUGCGAAAGUGCA